GAAAGGGGCGGUAAUACCAGAUAAUGUCCUUCGGGACCAAAGAUUUAUCGGCAUUGGAGCGGCCUAUCUCCUAUCAGCUUGUUGGUGAGGUAACGGCUCACCAAGGCAACGACGGGUAGCGGGACUGAGAGGUUGGCCCGCCACAUCGGGACUGAGACACUGCGCCGGACCUCCACGGAGGGCUGCAGUAACGGAUAUUGGGCAAUGGGCGAAAGCCUGACCCAGCAAUGCCGCGUGCAGGAUGAAGCCCCUAGGGGUGUAAACUGCUGUCAGGGGUCAGAAAGCUGGUUUCGGCCAGUUGAUCAACCCCAGAGGAAGUCACGGCUAACUUCGUGCCAGCAGCCGCGGUAAUACGAAGGUGGCAAGCGUUAUUCGGAAUCAUUGGGCUUAAAGGGCACGCAGGCGGAACAGUGUGUGUUGUGUGAAAUCCCCCGGCUUAACCGGGGAAUUGCACAGCAAACUGCUGUUCUUGAGGCAGGUAGGGGUGCAUGGAACUCUUGGUGGAGCGGUGGAAUGCAUAGAUAUCAAGAGGAACGCCAGAGGUGAAGACGGUGCACUGGGCCUGUCCUGACGCUGAGGUGCGAAAGCGUGGGGAGCGAACGGGAUUAGAUACCCCGGUAGUCCACGCCGUAAACGAUGUCUACUAGGUCGUGGGUGUUCUGACACAUUCACGGGCGGAGCCAAAGUGUUUAGUAAACCGACUGGGGAGUACGGCCGCAAGGUUAAACUCAAAUGAAUUGACGGGGGCUCACACAAGCGGUGGAGCAUGUGGAUUAAUUCGAAGCAACGCGCAGAACCUUACCUGGGUUUGACAUGCUUGGAUGCCUGCUCUGAAAGGAGUUAGGCUGCCUUCGGGGAAACUUGCACAGGUGCUGCAUGGCUGUCGUCAGCUCGUGUCGUGAGAUGUCGGGUUAAGUCCUUUAACGAGCGAAACCCUUGCCGUUAGUUGCCAGCGAGUAAUGUCGGGGACUCUAACGGGACUGCCGAAAAAAAAACCGGAGGAAGGUGGGGAUGACGUCAAGUCCUCAUGGCCUUUAUGCCCAGGGCUUCACACGUGCUACAAUGGCAAUUACAGAGCGACGCGAUACCGCGAGGUGGAGCAAAUCGCAAAAAAAUUGCCUCAGUUCGGAUUGCAGGCUGGCAAUUCGCCUGCAUGAAGUCGGAAUCGCUAGUAAUCGCGUAUCAGCAAUCCCGCGCUGAAUGUGUUCCUGAGCAUUGUACACACCGCCCGUCAAGUGAUGGAAGC
rnacentral:rRNA from 1 species